rnacentral:rRNA from 1 species
GCAAGUCGAGCGGUAGAGAGAAGCUUGCUUCUCUUGAGAGCGGCGGACGGGUGAGUAAUGCCUAGGAAUCUGCCUGGUAGUGGGGGAUAACGUUCGGAAACGGACGCUAAUACCGCAUACGUCCUACGGGAGAAAGCAGGGGACCUUCGGGCCUUGCGCUAUCAGAUGAGCCUAGGUCGGAUUAGCUAGUUGGUGGGGUAAUGGCUCACCAAGGCGACGAUCCGUAACUGGUCUGAGAGGAUGAUCAGUCACACUGGAACUGAGACACGGUCCAGACUCCUACGGGAGGCAGCAGUGGGGAAUAUUGGACAAUGGGCGAAAGCCUGAUCCAGCCAUGCCGCGUGUGUGAAGAAGGUCUUCGGAUUGUAAAGCACUUUAAGUUGGGAGGAAGGGUUGUAGAUUAAUACUCUGCAAUUUUGACGUUACCGACAGAAUAAGCACCGGCUAACUCUGUGCCAGCAGCCGCGGUAAUACAGAGGGU